rnacentral:rRNA from 1 species
UAGGGAAUCUUCGGCAAUGGAUGAAAGUCUGACCGAGCAACGCCGCGAGAGUGAAGAAGGUUUUCGGAUCGUAAAACUCUGUUGUUAGAGAAGAACAAGGACGUUAGUAACUGAACGUCCCCUGACGGUAUCUAACCAGAAAGCCACGGCUAACUACGUGCCAGCAGCCGCGGUAAUACGUAGGUGGCAAGCGUUGUCCGGAUUUAUUGGGCGUAAAGCGAGCGCAGGCGGUUUCUUAAGUCUGAUGUGAAAGCCCCCGGCUCAACCGGGGAGGGUCAUUGGAAACUGGGAGACUUGAGUGCAGAAGAGAAGAGUGGAAUUCCAUGUGUAGCGGUGAAAUGCGUAGAUAUAUGGAGGAACACCAGUGGCGGAGGAGGCUCUCUGGUCUGUAACUGACGCUGAGGCUCGAAAGCGUGGGGAGCAAACAGG